GACGAACGCUGGCGGCAGGCCUAACACAUGCAAGUCGAGCGGCAGCGGGACCUUCGGGUUGCCGGCGAGCGGCGGACGGGUGAGUAAUGCCUAGGAAUCUGCCUGUUAGUGGGGGAUAACGCGGGGAAACUCGCGCUAAUACCGCAUACGUCCUAUGGGAGAAAGCGGGGGCUCUUCGGACCUCGCGCUAACAGAUGAGCCUAGGUCGGAUUAGCUAGUUGGUGGGGUAAUGGCCCACCAAGGCGACGAUCCGUAACUGGUCUGAGAGGAUGAUCAGUCACACUGGAACGGAGACACGGUCCAGACUCCUACGGGAGGCAGCAGUGGGGAAUAUUGGACAAUGGGCGAAAGCCUGACCCAGCCAUGCCGCGUGUGUGAAGAAGGUCUUCAGAUUGUAAAGCACUUUAAGUCGGGAGGAAGGGCUGUAGGCUAAUACCUUGCAGUUUUGACGUUACCGACAGAAUAAGCACCGGCUAACUUCGUGCCAGCCGCCGCCGUAA
rnacentral:rRNA from 1 species